CAAUUCCAAGCUCAGCUCAACCUGAAUAUGGAUUUUUCUUUUUUCUUGUUUUCACAAUCGGAUGUGUUUUUUACGACUUUUUAGUACCUCUACACCAACAGAUAAGAUGUGCAUGUGUACAUAUACCGGCAUUAAUUAAGCGGCACAUACAUUCUUGUGCGUGUGUGAGUCCACACGCCCGAACCGACAGAGUCAAAGGCAGCUCCGCAUAGUCCGCGGACGGGAAAAGUUGUGAGCUUUAUCCAGACCUUAUUUGCGAGGUCAAAAAGCAAACCAAGGGGGGAGGGAAAAAAAAAAUCACAGCUCAAACACUGCGAAACCUUUCUUAAUUUUGCACGGUUUCCUGAGCCGGAUCUUUCCCAAACGGGCUCCGCGAAUGUAUUCCUUGUAAGUUAAACCAGCGUGCGGGAUUUUCUCAGAAAACGAGGGGGGUAAAAAGAAAAAAAGAAAGAAAAAAACCGAAAAGAUAAGUGAGGAAUGGAGCUCCACAGAAUCAUAUUUUUUUUCUACUGUUUUUAUUUUUGAAUUGAGUGGGAGGCGUUUGCACGGCGAUCAUGGGGGGCGAUUUUCAGAAGGGCGCAAUCCGCCACCUCCAGCGCCGGAGCUGCUCCGUGGGGAGGCGGUCGGGCAGGGACCGGGACCGGGACCGGGAAGGAGCCGGGGACAAGGACGGGACCGGGGACAGGACAAGGGCCGGGGAUGGAGUGAGCGCUGAGCAGCGACCGGGGACCGAGCAGGGACUGGGAAGGGACUGGGAAGGGGCUGGGGAUGGAGCAGGGACCAGCGACAGGGCAGGGACUGGGCACUGAACAGGGGCCGGGAAAGGACUGGGCACUGAGCAGGGACCGGAGACAGAGCGGGGACUGGGAACCGGGCAGGAGCCGGGACUGGGAACCGGGCAGGAGCUGGAACUGGGAACCGGGCAGGAGCUGGGACUGGGAACCGGGCAGGAGCCGGGUACCAAGGAGAGAGGGGACACCGAGCGAGGGGCUGGCUGCUGGGCAGGGCUGGGGAUCGGGAAGCGGCCGGAGCCCCCCGGGGAAACGCCGUCGGGGCCGCCCCGUCCCCAGCCCCGGCAGCAGCCCUGCCCUCCGGGAGCGCCUUGGCACUUACAGAGGGGAAACUCCCGGGAAAAGCGCAGGAAGAGACCGGGGGAAGGUACAGCUCCGGCUGCUCCCGGCCGGAGAAAGGACGGGAUGGAGGGAAGCGCGGAGGGACCCGCCGGGCGCACGGGAGAAAUGUCUCCACUCCCAAGAGCUAAUUAUCAUCGGCACAAGGCAGCAUGUGCAGAAGGAGCAGGGAAUGAGCACACACGUUUGUGUGUGUGUGUGUGUGUGUGUGUGUGCGUGUCCCCGAGUGUCCCCAGCCCCCGAGCCCUCGCUGCUUUUCCCUCCCCAUCUCCCGGCACAGCCCGGCCAUUGUCUGUGCCCGCAGCAGCAGGCGACAAAACAUCUCCCCUCGCUGGCCGCCGAGGUCGGGGAUGACGGCUUUUUUAUCCACCCUGCUUUUGAUGGGGGGUUUAAGUCUCUGUGGAUCUGCGGACGCCCGCGUUUGCAGAUUGCCGGGGGAGCGGUCGGGUGGGAUUUGACUGCGGGCAGGGUGUAUCCUAACUUGGGGAUGCGCUCCAGGGCAUUUGGUAACGUGUAGCCUGGAAAAAAAAUGCAAUUGUUGCUUUUUUUUUUUUUUUUUUUUUUUUUUUUAAAAGAGCUGAAACCCUCUACUUUUACGUUAAAAAUAUUUCUCUCUCUUCUUUCAGAUUUAUAGUUAACAACACGAUGGUAGAGGCGUCUCGGCCACUUAAACUGAAUCUGUUCUUAAAACAAAAGUGUGUGUGUGUGUGUGCGUGUGCGUGCGGGGGGGCAGCUCUGGGAAGUGUGAGUCUAUUUAGGAAGGAACGUAAGUUGAACUUUAACAGAAAUGGCAGACAGUCCAGUUGAACGGGUUCCUGCAACAUCAAAAAGGUUUUAUAUCGCCCCUGGCUUUGCCUCAAAACUAUGAAUUUACUAUCCUUUAAAAUUCGCUCGAUGCAUUUCAUAUUUGUGUGGAAAUCGGGAGAUCUAUGUAGGUAUAUAUAUAUAUUUUCAUAUCGGGUGGUAGAAAGAGGAUUAAAAAAAAAAAGGAGGGGGGGGAGACCAACAAUGCAGAUUCAAGUAUUUAUUUGGCUGCUGCGAAUAAAUAUGAUCUGUAACACGCACCAGAAGGACUUAAUCUUCUCUGUAAAUAGACCUAUAUUAUAGUAACUGCAAGUUUCUUC
rnacentral:lncRNA from 12 species